rnacentral:lncRNA from 1 species
GUGCCAGCAAGAACCUCAUCGGGUAACCCCCAAAAACAGGCCACAACUCAAACCUCUUCUUCGUUACCAACUAUCUAGUAAGCAACCCAUGGACUAACUUCGCCGAAACAGCACACCUCCUCACUGGCAGUCUAAAUAAGUUUCAAAAGCAAGACCCCAACAGCUUGUGUCCAUCUCCUCUGUUCCUUCAAGAACAUCCCUCACCAAAAGACUGUACUCCAUCGAUGCGUUACAGUUGUGCCGUUUGAUCAGAUAUCGGUCUGUCGCAAACAACCGACUAGGUAGCCUCUCAUUCACUGUCAAGGCCUCUGGCUGCUCAAACUCUAAUGGACAGCAAAACCAGCUUUUUGUUAACAAAUUUUUUUAAAUGACAAAAAAUUUUCCAAAAAUCUCGAUAUCAAACCCUAAAUCGAAUUUCUUAAUCCCAAUAACAGAACCCUAAACCCCGAUAUUGGCAACCUUGAACAUCUCCGAUUCGAAAUCCAACUAUGCAACCAAACAUUGCUCCAAAACCCCGACAUCAAACCCUAAAUCGAAUUACUCCGAGUUGUUAUCCC